UACGAAGGGGGGCUAGCGUUGUUCGGAAUUACUGGGCGUAAAGCGCACGUAGGCGGACAUUUUAAGUCAGGGGUGAAAUCCCAGAGCUCAACUCUGGAACUGCCUUUGAUACUGGGUGUCUUGAGUAUGGAAGAGGUGAGUGGAAUUCCGAGUGUAGAGGUGAAAUUCGUAGAUAUUCGGAGGGACACCAGUGGCGAAGGCGGCUCACUGGUCCAUUACUGACGCUGAGGUGCGAAAGCGUGGGGAGCAAACAGG
rnacentral:rRNA from 1 species